UUCUCCGGCGACUUUUCCGGCGACUUUCCGGCGACUUUCCGGCGACUUUCCGGCCAUUUUCCCCGGCGACCAAACUCACCGUUUCGCUGGAUUUUCGAGUGGAAAUCCUUAAUAUGAUGAAUUGAGACAGCACAAAAAGGACUAUGACUGUGCAGGCACAGACACUGACGAGUAUCAGGAUUAUCAGGAGCCCUAUGAUGAUUCUGGUUUCAUAGAUGAGACUGUCUAAAGUCUCCUUUUUAUGAUAGACUUGCUGAACAGUUUAUCUUCCAUGUCGUUAUUAGGUUUUAUUUUAUGCACUUUCUAGACAUCUCAUGCUUUAUUUUAUGGUUUGUAAUAUGACUACUAUUAUAUAGGACGUAAGCCGUGGUGGCCCUUAUGUUAUUGCUUUUGUGUGUAUUUAUUUGUAAGACCUUUUAUUAUUAUUUUAAUGUAAGUUGAGGUAUUUCAAUUAAA